UAGGCAUAUUUUACCAGACGGAGAUCCUUCUGCAAAUCAAAGAGAUGUCACGGAGGAUACGCAGCAAUGACCCUUUUACCCUCCAUAAAAAGUGCCAUGAGAAGCUGCUGACAAGAAUGACUAAGAUAUAUUGACCGCUUGAAGCAUCUCCUCCAUUGCUGAGUUGGCAGUGACAGUGGAAAAGAUUCCACUAUUUGCACACUUUGGUGAGUUUGGCAAGCUCUUGUUUGGGCUACAAACUUGACCCUAUUCUUAUCAUGGUAAGGAUGCAUAACUAUUCAGUUAUGCAGAAAAGGUGGCGUUGUCCCAUCCGAUCCAAUCUAGAGGAAAGCAGGAUGGUGAGUUGUUAGUGGAAUUGCGAGGCCGAGAGACGAGCAGCUCCUAGUUCCGAGAGGAACGGCGAAAGUGGGUUGUCGGUAUGAUGCAGCAUUGGUGCCCAUGGUGGAACUGCACUUUGCUGCAACUGCAUAUUACUUCAUGAUCAGGAAACGGCCAGCAAUGCGAGGCUAGCUCCUAUACGCAGCGAUAAGAAAAAUCUCCGUCGCCGACAAAAGGGGUUACUGGAUCCGGACAAGAUGCUGAAGAUUAUGCCCACCUGGAGAAUAUCAUACAUGUUCAGGAAAAGGAGAGCUGCCAGACAAGAGAAUACGAGUGCUGAAAGGGUAAUCGCACUGAAAACAACAUUAACAUGAUUUGCUGAGAGUCAUGAUGGGCUGCAGCCUGCAAGGGGAGCUGGGUGGAAUUGAUGGGCGUUUUAAUUUACCUUUGUUGUGUAGUUAAGCACAUGUGGGCUGUCCAAUCAUGAUUUAUUGACAUUGAGUGGAUGUGGUGCUUGGUGUAUUUUCAUUUGUUUUGCAGGGUAUCUCAUCAUUAGAGUUUGCGUAAUUAUGUACCGCUCUAUUACGACUUGCUAUAAUACCUAACCCUUGAUGAUAAA